UACGAAGGGGGCGAGCGUUGUUCGGAAUUACUGGGCGUAAAGGGCGCGUAGGCGGCGCGAUAAGUUGGGCGUGAAAGGCCCGGGCUCAACCCGGGGACUGCGCUUGAUACUGUCAGGCUCGAGUGCAGGAGAGGUUAACGGAACUCCAUGUGGAGCGGUAAAAUGUGUAGAUAUAUGGAAGAACACCAAUAACGGCGAAGGCAGUUAACUAUUCUGUUACUGACAUUGAGGCACGAAAGCGUGGGGAGCAAAACGG
rnacentral:rRNA from 1 species